rnacentral:lncRNA from 1 species
CCAGACUGAGGACAAGAGAGAAGCUUGUGCACCCUGAUUAAUAAAAUAACUAUGAAAACCUCAUUUUUUUUAAAAAAGAAGUUUCAGCAACAGAGGAAGAGAAGAAAAGAGACAAUCCAACUGAAUCAAACAUUUAAUGUAAUGUACAGAGCUUAUCAUUCCUUGGGAAAAAGGGAAAAGAAAACGCAUGAAGAAAUUUAAAAAGUUAAAAUUUCAACAUUGACUCCUCAUUUGCAGGCUACUCAAAAUCUAAAUAAAUUGCAGAAGAACCAUGAUCAGCACAGAUGUACAUUCCCAGUGAAGCACAAUACAUCAAGAUCCCAUCCCAAAUGAUUAGAUCCAAUACAAUACACAUCACAGAUCCAAGAGUGAAAAGAAUUAUCAAAAUCCAUUAGAAGGAAAGUAUCACGAAUGUGAUUCGCAAUAACAUUCCCAGUUCUAGCUUCUUAAAAAAAUAGAUAUAAGUAAAAUUAAGCAAGAAAUGUGAAUUAAUCAAAGCUAAAUAGCUGAACACAACAAAAAAUACUUCACAUUAAGCAACAGAUCUAAACAGAAACAACAAAUAAUGAGUUGGAUCAUAGACUAACAACAAAAAAUUAAAACUGCAGCAGAUCACAACAAAGAGAAAGAAGAAUUGACUCACAAAUCCAAGAGAGCGAGAGAGAGCGAGCGAGAGCGAGAGAGAGCGAGCGAGAGCGAGAGAGAGCGAGCGAGAGCGAGAGAGAGCGAGCGAGAGCGAGAGAGAGCGAGCGAGAGCGAGAGAGACCGAGCGAGAGCGAGCGAGAGAGAGCGAGCGAGAGCGAGAGAAACCGAGCGAGAGCGAGAGAAACCGAGCGAGAGCGAGCGAGAGAGAGCGAGAGAGACCGAGCGAGAGCCAGCGAGAGAGACCGAGCGAGAGAGAGAGAGCAGGGAGGAGAGGAGAAGGGGGAGUGG